UACGGAGGGUGCGAGCGUUGUCCGGAAUCACUGGGCGUAAAGGGCGCGUAGGUGGCUCACGCAAGCGUGCGGUGAAAGCCCGGGGCUCAACCCCGGGUCGGCCGUGCGGACUGCGGGGCUCGAGCACUGUAGGGGCAGAUGGAAUUCCGGGUGUAGCGGUGGAAUGCGUAGAGAUCCGGAAGAACACCGGUGGCGAAGGCGGUCUGCUGGGCAGUUGCUGACACUGAGGCGCGACAGCGUGGGGAGCAAACAGG
rnacentral:rRNA from 1 species